rnacentral:sRNA from 1 species
ACUCAAUAAACAAUUGUAUAAUCCACACAUACACCGGCACAUAAGGCGGGGUGCUUAGCUAGACUAAGUCGGCUUAUGGGGUGUAUGGAGGCUUAACC